rnacentral:misc_RNA from 1 species
GAUGAAGAACCGUAGCAAAAUGCGAUAAGUAAUGUGAAUUGCAGAAUUCAGUGAAUCAUCGAAUCUUUGAACGCACAUUGCGCCCGCUGGUAUUCCGGCGGGCAUGCCUGUUCGAGCGUCAUUUCAACCCUCAAACCCCCCGGGUUUGGUGUUGGGGAUCGGCUCUGCCUCACGGCGGUGCCGCCCCCGAAAUACAUUGGCGGUCUCGCUGCAGCCUCCAUUGCGUAGUAGCUAACACCUCGCAACUGGAACGCGGCGCGGCCAUGCCGUAAAACCCCAACUUCUGAAUGUUGACCUCGGAUCAGGUAGGAAUACCCGCUGAACUUAAGCAUAUCAAUAAGCGGAGGA